GUGUUCACUUUGGCAAUACAUACACCAAAAUUGGGACGAUACAGAGGAGAUUAGCAUGGCCCCUUCAAAAGGAUGACACUCAAAUUCAUGAAGCAUUCCAUGCCUUU